AGCGAACGCUGGCGGCAGGCCUAACACAUGCAAGUCGAACGAACCCUUCGGGGUUAGUGGCGGACGGGUGAGUAACACGUGGGAACGUGCCUUUAGGUUUGGAAUAACUCAGGGAAACUUGUGCUAAUACCGAAUGUGCCCUUCGGGGGAAAGAUUUAUCGCCUUUAGAGCGGCCCGCGUCUGAUUAGCUAGUUGGUGAGGUAAUGGCUCACCAAGGCUACGAUCAGUAGCUGGUCUGAGAGGAUGACCAGCCACAUUGGGACUGAGACACGGCCCAAACUCCUACGGGAGGCAGCAGUGGGGGAUCUUGCGCAAUGGGCGAAAGCCUGACGCAGCCAUGCCGCGUGGAUGAUGAAGGUCUUAGGAUUGUAAAAUCCUUUCACCGGUGAAGAUAAUGACUGUAGCCGGAGAAGAAGCCCCGGCUAACUUCGUGCCAGCAGCCGCCGUAAGAC
rnacentral:rRNA from 1 species